CAAACGGUCCUUCUCAGGGCCAUCGAAAAUGAUUCCUCAAGAGUUAU
rfam:Aedes albopictus isolate Foshan contig159317, whole genome shotgun sequence.